rnacentral:rRNA from 1 species
UGGGGAAUAUUGGACAAUGGGCGCAAGCCUGAUCCAGCAAUGCCGCGUGUGUGAAGAAGGCCUUCGGGUUGUAAAGCACUUUUGUCCGGAACGAAAAGCGUUGGGUUAAUAACCUGACGUGCUGACGGUACCGGUUGAAUAAGCACCGGCUAACUUCGUGCCAGCAGCCGCGGUAAUACGAAGGGUGCAAGCGUUAAUCGGAAUUACUGGGCGUAAAGGGUGCGUAGACGGUUUGUUAAGUCGGAUGUGAAAGCCCCGGGCUCAACCUGGGAACUGCAUCCGAAACUGGCAGGCUAGAGUGCGAUAGAGGAUGGUGGAAUUCCCGGUGUAGCGGUGAAAUGCGUAGAGAUCGGGAGGAACAUCUGUGGCGAAGGCGGCCAUCUGGAUCAGCACUGACGUUGAGGCACGAAAGCGUGGGGAGCAAACAGG